rnacentral:rRNA from 1 species
GAUGAACGCUGGCGGCGUGCCUAAUACAUGCAAGUAGAACGCUGAAGGAAGGAGCUUGCUCUUUCCGGAUGAGUUGCGAACGGGUGAGUAACGCGUAGGUAACCUGCCUGGUAGCGGGGGAUAACUAUUGGAAACGAUAGCUAAUACCGCAUAACAGUAGAUGUUGCAUGAUAUCUACUUAAAAGGUGCAAUUGCACCACUACCAGAUGGACCUGCGUUGUAUUAGCUAGUUGGUGAGGUAACGGCUCACCAAGGCGACGAUACAUAGCCGACCUGAGAGGGUGAUCGGCCACACUGGGACUGAGACACGGCCCAGACUCCUACGGGAGGCAGCAGUAGGGAAUCUUCGGCAAUGGACGGAAGUCUGACCGAGCAACGCCGCGUGAGUGAAGAAGGUUUUCGGAUCGUAAAGCUCUGUUGUAAGAGAAGAACGAGUGUGAGAGUGGAAAGUUCACACUGUGACGGUAUCUUACCAGAAGGGGACGGCUAACUACGUG